AUAACCUGGAGGAAGGUGGGGAUGACGUCAAAUCAUCAUGCCCCUUAUGCUUAGGGCUACACACGUGCUACAAUGGGUAGUACAGAGGGUUGCCAAGCCGUAAGGUGGAGCUAAUCCCUUAAAGCUACUCUCAGUUCGGAUUGUAGGCUGAAACUCGCCUACAUGAAGCUGGAGUUACUAGUAAUCGCAGAUCAGAAUGCUGCGGUGAAUGCGUUCCCGGGUCUUGUACACACCGCCCGUCACACCACGGGAGUUGGAGACGCCCGAAGCCGAUUAUCUAACCUGUUGGAAGAAGUCGUCGAAGGUGGAAUCAAUAACUGGGGUGAAGUCGUAACAAGGUAGCCGUAUCGGAAGGUGCGGCUGGAUCACCUCCUUUCUAAGGAGA
rnacentral:rRNA from 1 species